rnacentral:rRNA from 1 species
UACGAAGGGGGCUAGCGUUGUUCGGAUUUACUGGGCGUAAAGCGCACGUAGGCGGUUUGUUAAGUCAGGGGUGAAAUCCCACAGCUCAACUGUGGAACUGCCUUUGAUACUGGCAAGCUAGAGUCCGGAAGAGGUAAGUGGAACUCCUAGUGUAGAGGUGGAAUUCGUAGAUAUUAGGAAGAACACCAGUGGUGAAGGCGGCUUACUGGUCCGGAACUGACGCUGAGGUGCGAAAGCGUGGGGAGCGAACAGG